rnacentral:misc_RNA from 1 species
AGUGAACUCCGUUUAAAGUGGAAAUCCUUUUAUAAAGCUCCCAGCCUGCUAAAGGCUGGAAGCUUUAUAAAAGAUUGAAACGUCCCAAAGCGUCGGGAGCUGGA